ensembl:lncRNA FAM99A family with sequence similarity 99 member A
AGGAGGAGGGUGGCCUGUCCCGGGCAGACCAGCCUCUUUGGGCUGUGUGGCCCCAGCUCCCUGAGCCCAGAGGGAGGUGAGGGUGAGAAGGCCUGGACCAGGCAGGACGCAGCCCCCAGGGCCCCUGCUGGGAAGAGGUCAGAACCUCCCAAGGACCCAGAAGGCCAGAACACACUAGAGGGUCCCGGCAUCCUGAUGAGUCCACUGUCCCCGCGAUGGUUUUCAGGGAUGGAGAAGGCUCCCUGUCCUCCGCUGGAACCCUGCAGCCGGGCUGACGAGACCCCAGCGAGACCUGCAGAACAUUACAGCAGAAUGAAGGAGAGCCAGAGGAAGAGGCAGAUGUGCUGGCCUGUAAACAGUCUGAUUUCCAAUGUAAACCAGAUUCAGGCCCACGACAUCAGGUCAGCAUCUCCCACUGUGGGAAUCCUAUGUGGCCCCAUCGUCUGGACAGUGUGGGUCAGGUCACUGUGGCUGUUUUGUGAUGCGUGUGUGGGCUCAUCCCUCAGUGCUCAGAAGCUGCAGACACUAUGGAACCGCUUUUCAGGCCCCGUGGCCGUCACCCCCGCUCUAGAGACUUGAUUGCAGGGACCAUGCCCGGCCGGCCUAACUGCACCCCUCACUCCAGGUGGGUGGGGGGACCCAGGCCUGCUGGCCCCUGUGGUGGUGCAGCCCAGAAGGUGUGAAUCAGUUUACACUGUUCAGUGCCUGAAUAAAAGUCACAGGACAAAGAGGA